AAUUUAUUUUUUCUUUUCGUUUUAUCUUUUGCUACGUAUUAUAUUAAUCGGAAGGAUUUUUAAACCACCAAUUUCGUCAUAGUGUCUGCUUUGUAUUAAUUAAAUUGUUUUAUAUUUAGCGAGAUCAUCAACUUAGCCAAUUCCGAGUUCCGGUCGUGCAUAUAGGAUUCCGGAUAAUUUUAGUUGGAUAUUUCCUAUCGAAUUAGGAGUAAGAUAACUUUAAAUUGAAAAAUAUAUAAAAAUAACUGCCUCAAAGUGUGAAUUAUUUACACAAUUUAUUGUUUAAAUUGCUUGUGCGUUUAGAACCAGUCAGCUCAACUCUUCCACAUUAUUGUUUGUGAGCCAGUUUCAUAAUUAAGUUAUUCCAUUAUAUUCCAUCCAGUUGAUUUCCAUUUUUUGUAAAUAUUUGUCAUUUAUAAUUGGCUGAUUUGUAAUUUUAUCAAAUAAAUAACGUUAAAAUCAAUA